AGUGAACGCUGGCUGUAGGCCUAACACAUGCAAGUCGAACGGCAGCACAGUAAGAGCUUGCUCUUACGGGUGGCGAGUGGCGGACGGGUGAGGAAUACAUCGGAAUCUACUUUUUCGUGGGGGAUAACGUAGGGAAACUUACGCUAAUGCCGCAUACGACCUACGGGUGAAAGCAGGGGAUCUUCGGACCUUGCGCGAUUGAAUGAGCCGAUGUCGGAUUAGCUAGUUGGCGGGGUAAAGGCCCACCAAGGCGACGAUCCGUAGCUGGUCUGAGAGGAUGAUCAGCCACACUGGAACUGAGACACGGUCCAGACUCCUACGGGAGGCAGCAGUGGGGAAUAUUGGACAAUGGGCGCAAGCCUGAUCCAGCCAUACCGCGUGGGUGAAGAAGGCCUUCGGGUUGUAAAGCCCUUUUGUUGGGAAAGAAAAGCAGCAGGUUAAUACCCCGCUGUUCUGACGGUACCCAAAGAAUAAGCACCGGCUAACUUCGUG
rnacentral:rRNA from 1 species